rnacentral:rRNA from 1 species
AGAGUUUGAUUAUGGCUCAGGAUGAACGCUGGCGGCGUGCUUAACACAUGCAAGUCGAACGAAGCACUUUUACAGAUUUCUUCGGAAUGAAGUUUUAGUGACUGAGUGGCGGACGGGUGAGUAACGCGUGGGUAACCUGCCUCACACAGGGGGAUAACAGUUGGAAACGGCUGCUAAUACCGCAUAAGCGCACAGUACCGCAUGGUACAGUGUGAAAAACUCCGGUGGUGUGAGAUGGACCCGCGUCUGAUUAGCUAGUUGGCAGGGCAACGGCCUACCAAGGCGACGAUCAGUAGCCGACCUGAGAGGGUGACCGGCCACAUUGGGACUGAGACACGGCCCAA